GGUGGUGUGGCUGAGAAGUUAAGAGUGGCACUUUAGAGUCAGAUUAGACCUGGGUUCAAAUCCUGGUACCACCA
rnacentral:tRNA from 1 species